GUAGAAUUAAUCAAUGCUGUCUGCGAAACAUGCGGAGCUUUGUCCAAAUUGUAUGGGAUAUACCACUUGAUCCAAGUUGUCGAUAUCCACGACACUUGUCCUUGCGCAUCCAUAGGAGUUUCGGUUGCACAGUCGUCAGAGUAAGCACUUUUCACCUCUGAAAUCGUAGGUUCAAUUCUCGCCACGGACUCCUCUCUCAGCCAAGCAAAUCCAAGCACGACGGAAACAUUUUGCGAAUCUGAGGGUCAAUAUCUCGUAAUCUACUGAAUUAUAUUAUCAACUUAUCAACAAAGUUUUUGUGCUGUUUUCAAAUCCCUCAAGUGAUAUAGGCAAUGGAAAUAUAGAACUGUCACACCUCAUAUCUGUAACUCUUCUUUGGUUUUUCCCGACUGUGACAUGCAAACUUUCCUUGUUAUAUUAUCAAUGCUACAACGACGAAACGUUUGUUAUUUAACAACAAAAGGAAAAAUAGUUUUGCGUGCUUUUCUCUACAGCAGAUAUAGAGACGUAUAUCGCGGUUUGCGAGUAAUUUAGAAUUGUUAUUUGUGUGGAUAUAUGAACUUCAACUUCGUCUCCCAAACAUCGUAUGUUUCUUUCUUAUAAGCCCGAG